CAAAGUUGCUUUGUUCAUGCUUGCUUUAGUUUUUUAGUUGAUCAAAGUUGAUACUUGUCUUCUUUAAACAGACCAUUUGCUUUUUUUGCUCACCCAGGUUUCCAAUCUGAUUCAGAUAUCUUUAGCCAAACUUAGCGUAUAGGCCUCAAAGCAUAGUACUAUUUUGGGUUUAGCACCCUCUGUUUUGCUGGUGUGGAAGGAAAGCGGGGAUUGUUGCCCUCUUGGUGUUGAUGCAGUGAUGCUAUGUUCAGUAGAGGAAGCACAAUGAAGCUAUUGUGCAUAUUGUUCAGAGUAAGCUAAGAAGUUAUAAAUAUCACAUCUGAGCAUUGUAUUUUCACCAUGAGAGUCUCUCAAUGGAAGACUCUCUUUUGCAACAAGAAUAAAAUAACAUGGAGAGGAUAUUUGGAUCAGUUGCUAGAAUCUUAUGAAAAAUUAUUGCAAAUUAAUUACUGAAAAUGAAUAUCAGGUAAGUAGUGCAGUAGUGCAUCACUAGAAAUAAUAUAUUUGAUAAGUAGUGCAGUAGUAGCAACUUCGACAAAAUUAAACUUGCCUUCAAAAAUGUUUUUGUGGAUACUUGCUGGAAUGCCCCUCAAAGAUUAACUGAAGAAGUUUAUCAAUUGAGUAAUCAAUGUCAUAAAGGCAUAAAGCUGCAAAGUUUUUGAGGCCAAGAAUUGGUUCCGAUAUUUUGUCCAUGAAAUGAAACCGGUUUGAAAAAGGUUUAAAAAUGAAAUGAAAAUCAAUCUUCCAGUCCUCCAGGACUGCAGGAUCCAUCCUUUAUUUCUUUUCCUUUGUAUAUCUACCCAUCCAGUGUUUUCUUUCUUUCCUUAUUUUUUUCCUUUCUUGUUUCCUUCUGCUCCUAUUUGAUCACGGUGGAUCUCUUGCAGCGGCAACGGCAUGCAGCACGUACGCAUCAUUGUAAAGGAGGCAAAUGCGUCAGUACCUCGCACUAUGAGCAUCAACUUGUUCAUGUAGGAGCACUGGGUAUCAGAAGAGCCUUCACUUCAACUGUAUCUGCCUUCCCAAUGGGGAUUGGGGCUUCCUUGACAUGUCAAUCCCAUUGUGCUCAGUAAUCGCCAUCUGGGACGCAGAAAAUCAAGGAGCAGAUCGGGGAAAAGCCAGACGACAUUGCAUUACAACGGCUUGAAGGCGGUAUCGUUGCAAUCUUGUGCAGGUAUUAUUCGUAUCAAAUCACGAUGAUGCAUUCUUUAUGUUAUUCUAUUUUUGGCAUUCUUGUACUAUGUUAAUUGCAAUGUCUGUGGAUGAUAAGUUUGCGGUAAUUUUUUUGGGAGCUCAUGGUAUGGUGCAUAUCAAUGAGUUCAGUUUUAUAUAUCCGUGCAUUAAGAUGAAUGUAGCAAGCAUCCUCUGAUAAAUGAACUAUUUCUGCACUCAGCAAUUUUAGAAUAUGUAGUUGUGACAAAUUCCAUGGACUCAUCUGAAAUCUUCGGGUAUUCUUAUCGGUCCACGUUUUGAUUGGUUUGGAGACCAUAAAAGCACUACCAAGUGUUGACACUAGCUAACACCACUUAGAUACUAG
rnacentral:lncRNA from 1 species